rnacentral:rRNA from 1 species
GACGAACGCUGGCGGCGUGCUUAACACAUGCAAGUCGAGCGAGGCCUGGGGGGCAACUCCCAGAGUCGAGCGGCGGACGGGUGAGUAACACGUGGGUAACCUGCCCGGAAGUGGGGAAUACCUCGGGGAAACUCGAGCUAAUACCGCAUGACAUCUCCGGGACGAAAGUCCUGGCGAUCAAAGCGGGGUCGCAAGAUCUCGCGCUACCGGAUGGGCCCGCGCCCGAUUAGCUAGUUGGUGAGGUAACGGCUCACCAAGGCUUCGAUCGGUAACCGGCCUGAGAGGGCGAUCGGUCACACCGGAACUGAGACACGGUCCGGACUCCUACGGGAGGCAGCAGUGGGGAAUCUUGCGCAAUGGGCGAAAGCCUGACGCAGCAACGCCGCGUGGAGGAUGAAGGCCCUGGGUUGUAAACU